AAUCAACGCUGGCGGCGUGCCUCAGACAUGCAAGUCGAACGAUUAAAGCUCUCUUCGGAGAGUGCAUAGAGUGGCGCACGGGGUGAGUAACACGUAAGUAAUCUACCUUCGAGUGGGGAAUAACGUCCGGAAACGGGCGCUAAUACCGCAUAAUGCAGCGGCAUCGCAAGAUGACAGUUGUUAAAGGAACAAUCCGCUUGAAGAGGAGCUUGCGGCAGAUUAGCUAGUUGGUAGGGUAAUGGCCUACCAGGGCUACGAUCUGUAACCGGUCUUAGAGGACGGUCGGUCACACUGACACUGAAUAACGGGUCAGACUCCUACGGGAGGCAGCAGUCGGGAAUUUUGGGCAAUGGGGGAAACCCUGACCCAGCAACGCCGCGUGAAGGAUGAAGUAUUUCGGUAUGUAAACUUCGAAAGAAUAGGAAGAAUUAAUGACGGUACUAUUUAUAAGGUACCGGCUAACUACGUGCCAGCAGCCGCGG
rnacentral:rRNA from 1 species